rnacentral:rRNA from 1 species
ACGGGUGAGUAACGCGUGAGCAACCUGUCCCUUACAGGGGGAUAACACAGCGAAAGUUGUACUAAUACCGCAUAAGACCACGGGAGGACAUCCUUCAGGGGUCAAAGGAGGAAUCCGGUAAGGGGUGGGCUCGCGUCCGAUUAGAUAGUUGGUGAGGUAACGGCCCACCAAGUCGACGAUCGGUAGCCGACCUGAGAGGGUGAUCGGCCACAUUGGGACUGAGACACGGCCCAAACUCCUACGGGAGGCAGCAGUGGGGAAUAUUGGGCAAUGGGGGGAAAAACCCCUGACCCAGCAACGCCGCGUGAGGGAAGAAGGUUUUCGGAUCGUAAACCUCUGUCCUUGGUGAAGAGGAAGAGACGGUAGCCAAGGAGGAAGCCCCGGCUAACUACGUGCCAGCAGCAGC